GCACCGUCUGAGGCCACUUCGAGCCUACUGGAUCCCUGGUUCCAACCCAGUAGGAUCACAGAAGCAGGGCCAGCUGCCAGUAUGCCAGCAUCACUACUCUUGCAGCUACUAAGUGACUCAUAAGGAGGGGACCUUCUGCAGUGUGGAUCCGCUGGACAAAGGUAGAAUUCAGGUCCUUUGCAGGACGAAGCUGGAUGGUGCAAGAUUUCUUCACACCACUCAGAACACUGUACAAUUUAAAACUUACGAAUUGUUUCUGGAAUUUUUCGUGUAAUAUUUUUGGACCAAGUUCGACUGGGGGUAACUGACACCUUGGAAAGCGAAACUUCGAAUAGGGGGAGCUACUGUACAUGAGAAAUGUUACCCAUGAUUCCCUUGCUCAGACAUACAUACCUGUUUCAUUUUUCUCUGAUCCUUUCUAGCCCUUGGCUGUAUUAAUGUAUAUUUUUGUGGUUGUUGUCACAA
ensembl:lncRNA RNASEH2B-AS1 RNASEH2B antisense RNA 1